UACGGGGGAUGCGAGCGUUAUCCGGAUUUAUUGGGUUUAAAGGGUGCGUAGGCGGUCGGAUAAGUUAGAGGUGAAAUCCCGAGGCUCAACUUCGGAAUUGCCUCUGAUACUGUUCGGCUAGAGAGUAGUUGCGGUAGGCGGAAUUCGUGGUGUAGCGGUGAAAUGCUUAGAUAUCACGAAGAACUCCGAUUGCGAAGGCAGCCUGCUGGACUGUAACUGACGCUGAUGCUCGAAAGUGUGGGUAUCAAACAGG
rnacentral:rRNA from 1 species